rfam:Asian citrus Psyllid, Diaphorina citri - Florida Strain, whole genome shotgun sequence.
GCUCCCAUGGCGUAGUGCUCACUGCACUGGCCUUGCACGCGGGAGACCCGGGUUCGAUUCCCGGCGGGGUCA